rnacentral:rRNA from 1 species
CCCUUAGAUGUCCUGGGCCGCACGCGCGCCACACUGAGUGUCUGAGAUACGAGUCUGCCUAGCCGGCGAGGUCUAGGUAAUCGCUGAAAGACACAUCAUGCUUGGGAUAGAUUAUUGCAGAUAUUAAUCUUGAACGAGGAAUUCCUAGUAAGCGCAAGUCAACAGCUUGCGUUGAUUACGUCCCUGCCCUUUGUACACACCGCCCGUCGCUACUACCGAUUGAAUGGUUUAGUGAGAUCCUCGGAUCGGCGGCGUCGGGACGGCCCUGCCGUACCGUUCUGCAUUGUCCGAGAAGACGAUCAAACUUGAUCAUUUAGAGGAAGUAAAAGUCGUAACA